UUCUGGGAUGACUGACAGAUUGAGAGCUCUCUCUUGAUUCGGUGGAUGGUGGUGCAUAUCCGUUCUUAGUUGGUGGAGCGAUUUGUCUGGUUAGUUCCAAUAACGAACGAGACUCUAGUUUAUUAAAUAGGUGCGUGGUUCUCUGCUCCUUGCACCCUUCUUAGAGAGUCAAGCGGCUCCUAGCAGCUCGAAACAAAGCAGUGACAGGUCUGUGGUGCCCUUAGAU
rfam:Ixodes scapularis strain Wikel colony gcontig_1108379745718, whole genome shotgun sequence.